rnacentral:rRNA from 1 species
AUUGAACGCUGGCGGCAUGCCUUACACAUGCAAGUCGAACGGCAGCACGGACUUCGGUCUGGUGGCGAGUGGCGAACGGGUGAGUAAUGUAUCGGAACGUACCUUUCAGUGGGGGAUAACGUAGCGAAAGUUACGCUAAUACCGCAUAUUCUGUGAGCAGGAAAGCAGGGGAUCGCAAGACCUUGCGCUGAUUGAGCGGCCGAUAUCAGAUUAGCUAGUUGGUGGGGUAAAGGCCUACCAAGGCUACGAUCUGUAGCGGGUCUGAGAGGAUGAUCCGCCACACUGGAACUGAGACACGGUCCAGACUCCUACGGGAGGCAGCAGUGGGGAAUUUUGGACAAUGGGGGCAACCCUGAUCCAGCCAUGCCGCGUGA